rnacentral:rRNA from 1 species
UGAACGCUGGCGAGAUGCUUUACACAUGCAAGUCGUACGAGAGUUUUAAACUCAAGUGGCGGACGGGUGAGUAACACGUAAGAAUUUACCUUUAGGAGGGGGACAACAGACAGAAAUGACUGCUAAUACCCCAUAUGCUUUCGAGUGAAAUGGAUUUUUCCGCCUAGAGAGAAGCUUGCGGCUGAUUAGCUUGUUGGUAAGGUAAUGGCUUACCAAGGCGACGAUCAGUAUCUGGUUUGAGAGGAUGAUCAGACACACUGGAACUGAGACACGGUCCAGACUCCUACGGGAGGCAGCAGUGGGGAAUUUUCCGCAAUGGGCGAAAGCCUGACGGAGCAAUCUCGCGUGAGGGAUGACUGCCUAUGGGUUGUAAACCUCUUUUUUCAGGGAGGAAUAAAUGACGUGUACCUGAAGAAUAAGCAUCGGCUAACUCC